rnacentral:misc_RNA from 1 species
UUGAGUUGAGUUGAGUUGAGUUGUUUCUUUAGAGGAUCUUAGAUUCCAUCAUUGAACUACAGUUCAAAUUGUUGUUUUUUCCCCCAUACUAAAUAAUUUGGUUGGCAAUGGAUGAAUGAUUUGAUUAAAUUUGAUGGUUAGAAGGAAAGGCCAAAAAGAUUGAUAUUCUAGGAUGUUAAGGAAAAACUAAUCAUUUAUUAACUUACCUUGUGGGCUAGAUAUGGCUAGGCGUGUUAAAUGGGUUACCCACCAUUUAACCUCAAUAAACCCUGACCUGCCCAAUGUUAAAAUUGGCGUUGCCGCUAGCAUUGUCCCCUUGCACUUGCACCUAGACUGGUCUAGCGGUAGUGGGCUUGUCCGAUCCAAUUUGUCUUAAGCUGAGGGCCUAGGACUGGACCACAGGGUCCUCCUGGUUUCGUGGAGCUCCAGUCUUGGUUGGACUGGGCCAAUUUUAGAUUCUAACUAGAUUGUGGCCCCUACUUGCACUGCUACUAUCUCUCCACCAUCAUGGCCAUCACUUACACUGCUAUUACUGCCAUCAUCUCUACCACCGCACAACCAACAGGUCCACCACCACCUCAUUAAAAGGAGAAUUUUUGAGAGAUAUGCUAAUGACAAUUGGAUUUAGUUGUUGAUUCUGAUACUUCUUAUUUUUAUUAUUUUAAUAAUUGAAGCAUUUGACACUUUGCAUUUUAUUGUAAUGAUCAGUGGAUUUGGGAUGCCUAUCGAUAGCUUGAUGGCUAAUGACCUUUAUUUAUUUAUCUGUUGGUACUCAGUGAUGUGGUUGAUGACUGCCGUGUGUUUGACACUUAUGAGUCUUAGGAUUCUAGAAUUUAUAUUUUAAGAAAAUAAUAAAAUAAAAAAAUAUUUGAAAAUAAAUUAUAAAUGUCAUUAUUUGGAUGAAUUAGAAAUUAGUAAAAACUAAAAAAUAUCAGAAACGG